GCCACAAACCCUCUGCCAAAGUCUAGAUGCUGAAUGGGUUGAAGAUUUAUUGGACAAAUCCGUGAGGCUUCUAGAUGUUUGUGGCACUACAAGGGAACUUGUCUCAAAAUAUAAAGAAAAUGUAAGACAUCUUCAAUCAUCUCUCAGAAGGAGAAAAGGAGAUUUAACUACAGAUGACAGCGUUACCAGAUUUACCUCUUUCAGCAAGAAGAUCAAGAGGGAUGCCAAAAGAUUAGCCUUGAAUUUGAAACAAAUGGAUCAAGCGGCUGCAGUACCGGUCUUGCUAGAUGCAGAUCAAGAUACAAUAGUUGCAAUUAGAGCACUAAGAGAAGCUAAUGCAGUGUGCAUUUCAACUUUCCAAAUGCUCUUGUCCUUCCUGUGUGUGCCACUUUUGAAGCCAAAACAAUCAAAAUGGUCAGUGCUUUCAAGAUUGGUACACAAAGACAGAAUAGUACCUAAAGUAGAAGAAGAAAACACGAGCUUAGAAACCAGGCUGGAAACCUUCGGGGCCUACCUUGACAGCUUUGAAAAUGCACUGGAAGCUACAUUUAGGUGCUUGAUUAGAUCAAGAAGCUUGCUCCUCAAUGUUCUUUCUUGUUAAUCUGGCAGUUGCUCCAUACUCUGCAAAUUGUACAUAAACAGUUUUGUAGUUAGGAAUAUAUAAACUUCAAGUGAAAGAUUAUAUACCACUUACUGCCUCUCACUCUCUCUGAUCAAAAUUUAAAGGUUUAUGCCUGUGAGUUUCAGCGCAAAGAAAGCACUUAGCAGUAUUUCUCCAUAACUGAUAUCAGUGUCUCAAAAAUGUCAAUAUCCAUUGAAAUGGUCCUCUUUAGACUAGAGGCGGAAAUAGAUAAAACGCAUGGCACAUUCAUUACAUACUUCCUCUGUAUAAUUGGUUUCAAAGAUCAAACUAAUGAAGGGCCAUAAUCUGGAUGAAAAGUUUCUUCCUUAUGCUCCUUAUUCACCAUACUUUAGGCAUCACUGAUAAAUUAGGAAUAUAGCUUAUGAUUUGCUUAUCUUACUUCAUGGUCCAUCUAGAUAUGGAGACCACUGUAACUAUGACAAUCUUGAUAUCAUCUGUCUUCCUUCUGAGACCUAAUCAGGAGGCUUAUCCUAUGUCCUUUUUCUUCUAGAUCCUAAGCCAAAUUCAACAAAGAAAACAAAACGAAGAUCUAGGACAAGGAUCUGGCACCAGAUCAGCGAGCAAAGCAGCCAACAGCAUUCUUUCGAAGAUAUAAAUGGAGCAAUUAACAAUGCCACUUUGCUCGACUCAAUAUCAGUUUUAUAUGAACAAGUAAAGUGGCAUUGCUCAGCAAGCUUAAUUGCACAGCUCCCAAAAAAUCCUCUAGCAGUCCUUGAAAACAACGAUAUGUACGCUCCCCAAAAAUAGAUUUGAAGUGUGGAUAGAAUUACUAUUUUGGAAGGGACAUAGGUGCCUGAUUAUAUUGCAGAGUUCUCUCCUAAAUAUCUUCCCAUGCUAAUCUGAAGUUGGCUAGACAUUUUUCACAUAUAUAAUGUCAUGGCCCGUGGCUAGCUUCUAAAUAUGUAGUGCCACGGACAGGCCCACUAGACUUUGUUUAGCCAACUGACAAGUGUGCCUGUGCCUAUGUCAGAUAUCUUCAAUCCUCUAUCAGAAAGAAAAGGAGAUCACUUAAGUACGUACAGAAGCCAGCUUUACCAGAUCACCUACUUCAGCAAGAAGAUUGGAUAGCCAAAGGUUAUUCCCGCUCUUAACUCUUAAAAAUGGAUGAAGACAUUGAGGAUUAGAAUUCCAAGAUUCAGAUAUGCACGCUACAUAUGUGAUUGGAGUACUAAGGGAAGCCAACCUAGUAUGCAUUUCAAUUUUGCAAAUGCUCUUGCUACUUCCUAUCUGUCCCAGUUAAAGUCAAACUCGUCUAAAUGGCACUGGUUUUGAGAUUGGUGCAUAAGGGAAGAAUAGCAUGUGAAAAGUCGAGCAGAUAACAUUAACUUUGAAACUAGUCUGGAAUCCUUCAAUGGUCACCUUGAGAGUUUUAAGGAUGAAUUAGAAGGAGCAUUUAGGUGCCUGAUUAGAUUGAGGAGCUCUCUCCUGAAUAUAUUCUCCCCAUCUGAUUCAAUCUGCAUUCUUAUGAGUUCCUUCCCCUUCAUACUUAUAACAUCAGAUAUCUCGGAAAGAAUAUGAAACUCAUGGAUUGUACCUUAUAAAAGUUUGUUAGUAAAGAAUGUAAAACUUCCUUCUCUUUGCCCCGGAGGGUGAGUUGUGUAGGAAAAUAACUAUGCAGUCAAUAAUUUAGUAAACAUUACACAAGCUCAGCAUAACCAGCCAUACAUAGAUGCACAAAAUUAAAUAUUUUUAUUUCCAAUACACCCGUGUAUCAAUUAUUGAUUUAAUUAAAAAUUGCUCUUUGAGUGAAGCAUCCUGAAGAAGCCACCUACUGCUGGACUAAUUAAAAGGAUGAAAAUCAUAGACAUACCUUGGGCAUCUUUAACCAAGUCAAGGAGAAGGAGUUCUUAGCUGUAAUCUUCCGGAUGGAGCCAAGGAAAAUAGCAGGAUAUGAAUGUACUGACAUAUAUUAAUUAGUUUUGCCCACCAUUUAUUGGAAGCAUUACAUCUAGUCCAGGAGCUUAUACAGAUAUGCUUCCAACCCCUUGCCAACCAAAUCCAAAAGAAAUACUCCCAUACGUGUACAACUCCAUAAGAUAAACUUCGGUCGUGCAUGUUGAAUUUUAUAUUUGAUCUACUAGCCCCUCUGAGAUCUUGACACCUUAAAAUAUUCCCAUUAUUCUGUCAUUAUUUACAUUUCAAUUAUCUAAAUAUAUAAUAUUCUAGUAGUUGAUGGAUUUAAGCCUUUAUGAGGAGACAGACUUACCUGGCCACCUAUUACAUGACAGAGACUAACUAAACAACUGAACAAAUAAAGUAGGCUUCUUGAAGUUGAUGCAUCUUCAAUCAAAUAAUAUCAAUAGAAAAGUUUUUUGUCAUAGUAUUGGCACCAUUUCUGGAGACAGAGAGGCAAAUCAUGCAAAAACUUAUGAUAAUUAUAUACCUCGCGUUCAUCUUAUAACUACGAGGCCACCAUUUCUGGAGACAGAAAGAGGCAAAUCAUGCAAACACUUGCAUGAUAAUUAUAUGCGUCGUGUUCAUCUUAUAACUACGAGGAUUAAUGAAAGUAAUCAGUACAACCUUUUGUUGGCCAAAUGUGUAUCAGGUUUACAAGUUCCAAAAAAGAUCCAGCUGUGCAAUCACAUGCUGAUUUAAUUAGGCCAUUGCUCAUCUUGUCUCCUCCCAUGGUUGUUUUCCUAUAAAUACCAACUCUCAAAAUUAAAUUCCAUCAAAACUUUGUGAAAUCCCCUAAUCUGAAAGAAAACCGUAAGAAAUGGCUUCACUUUCUUCAAAAUCCAAUCACGUUCGAUCAAUCAGUUUGCUCGGGAGAUCACACCCUACCAUCCAGAGAGUUGAAGAGGAGCUAAACAAGCUCAGAUCAUUGGUAGUAUCUGUUGCACCAACAACAGUGAGCAAUGGUCUAAAAGGUUUGGAGAAAUUGUACAAGUGCAUAGAUGAUCUUCUCAACUUGCCUCAAACCCUUCAUGCCCUCUCCCAAAGUCCACAUGCAAAAUGGGUUGAAGAUCUAUUGGAUAAAUCAAUGAGGCUUCUUGAUCUGUGUGGCACUGCAAGGGAACUUGUAUCACAAUGCAAAGAAAAUGUAAGAGAUCUCCAAUCCAACCUCAGGAGGAGAAAAGGAGAUUCAAACACAGAUGACAACGUUACCAGAUUUACCUCUUUCAGCAAGAAGAUCAAGAGGGAUGCCAAAAGAUUAGUGUUGGCCUUGAAACAAAUGGAUCAAGACACUACAGUAUCUGUUUUGCUAGAUGCAGAUCAAGAUACAGUAGCUGUGAUUAGAGCACUAAAAGAAGCUAAUGCAGAAUGCAUUUCAACUUUCCAAAUGCUCUUGUCCUUCUUGUGUGUACCACUUUUGAAGCCUAAGCCAUCUAAAUGGUCACUGCUUUCAAGAUUGGUAAACAAAGAAAGAAUAGCAUCACUAGUCUUAGAAGAAAACAUGAGCUUAGAAACCAGGCUCGAAAGCUUUGAGACUUAUCUUAUCAACUUCGAAGAUGGCUUGGAAGCAACAUUUAGAUGCCUGAUUAGAUCUAGAAGCUUGCUACUCAAUGUUUUCUCCUGCUAAUCUGGCAGUUGUUAUUCCAUAUACUGUCAAUUGUAUAUACACAGUUUUGUAGUUAUGUUGGAAAUAUACAAUCUUCAAGCGAUUGAUUAUACAUCAAUGUCUUUUUCUCUAUAUAUAUUAUUAGUAUUAUAUAUGGAACGUAUAUGAAUACUGCCAUAAACUGUGCAGUAGGACUUUAAUUCAAAUACCUGAAUGGAGUCCAAAUUUAACAGGUAAUGCCUAUGACUUUCAGCAUCUAGAAAGAAUUUGCAGCAUUGUCUAAAUCUGAUGUCAGGUUAAGUUUUACCCGGAAAAUAGCUCAAAAUAUCAUUGAAAUGAAUCUCCUUAAACUAGAGGAGAACCAGAUAAAACUAAUAGCAGAUCCUUUUACAUACUUCCCUUGUAUAAUUAGUGAAAUGAUCAAACGAACAAGUGAAUGAGAAAAUUCUAUGACUCCUUAAUCAAUAUUUAAGGGUAAGAAGCCACUUACCUACAUCCGGAAAAAGGUAUUUCUUCCUUAUUCUUCUUAUCCAUCAUUCUUACACAACGAUAAUUUAUUAGAUAAUAUUGAGAAUGAUAUCUGUUUCUAUUUGGUUCAUAGUCAACUUAGCUGUUGAGACCACCACAGCUUUUCUGCAUUUGUUCUUAAAAUUAUUGGAAGUAUUAGACCUAAAUCCUAAUCAAGAAGGUUUCUAUAUCCUUUAUCUUCUUCCUGCCUUCCCAAGGGAAUUCAACAAACAAAAAAUGGGGAGUGAAAUGCAGGUUGUUGGAGCCACCAUCACAAGGAUUUAGCAUUAGAUAGGCAGCAAAAGUGGCAGAGUGCUCUCUCGAACAUAUUAGCACUACAGUCAUUAAUACCACUUUAAAAGUGCAACCCAGUAUAAUCCCACUUAGUAGGGUCUGGGGAGGGUAGUAUGUACGCAGACCUUACCCCUACCCUGNNNNNNNNNNNNNNNNNNNNNNNNNNNNNNNNNNNNNNNNNNNNNNNNNNNNNNNNNNNNNNNNNNNNNNNNNNNNNNNNNNNNNNNNNNNNNNNNNNNNNNNNNNNNNNNNNNNNNNNNNNNNNNNNNNNNNNNNNNNNNNNNNNNNNNNNNNNNNNNNNNNNNNNNNNNNNNNNNNNNNNNNUUCUUGGGGAGACUCGAACUCACAACCUCUCGGUUGGAAGUGGGGGUUGCUUACCAUCAGAGUAAUACCACUUUAUUCAACACAAUAUCAGUUUGAUAUGAAUGACUUAAGAGUUUGGUGGCGUUAUUCAGCAAGUUUAAUGUGUUUGCUCCCAAUAAAUUUACUAGCUGGUCUGAAAAGCAAUACCUUGAGUCCGUGCCAUGCUUCCAAAAUAGAGCUGAUGCAGAACUUGACAAAGCUAAAAUGUUUGAAAUACUAUUAGCCCUACCAGAAUACAUGAUACAAGAACAAUGCUGCAGUAAUAAUCUCUAUUUCUUAUCUGAAUAUGUUUGCCUAUGUAAUUGAUGGAUUGGAGUUGUCAAUAUGCGCUGGGUUUAGGACCAGUAGGUUGUUUCUUGCACUCAAGGGGACAAUGUCAAAACCAAGAAAAACAGCAUAACCAUAGUGGAGCAAUAGGUAGUGGGUAAUAUGCAGUAAGCGUCCAAAUAUGCAAUUAAGAACAGGUUAGGAGAGGGACGACGAGAUAGACCAAGAGACAAGGUGCCACUUUAGUAGCAAAUAAUAGCCUGAUUGCAUGAGGACAUAGUGGUGCACAGAUACGCUCGAGUCUCAGAACAAACGCAAUGCCAGGAUGAGCAACUGGAGAUAACAUUCUACCUAUGAUACUAGAUAUAUCAUAUAUGACGGGUUCAUAAACAGAAAGGAAGGGUAGGCACUGUCUUACAGGUCUGUCAUUUAUCCAACUAAGGUAGUGUGCAUCCAAAUAACGGGGUACAAAAAUAGCUUUCGCAUACCAACAUGAGGGCAAAAUAUAUAAUUCUCAUAUCUUCUAAAGUGUCUCUUAGUUCUGAUGAUGAGUAAGCAUUUUGUACCAUUGAUUUUGCUUAAGAAAGGUGCUAGUCAACUUCUCCUAUUUACUGAAAUAAGAUUUCAUGAACCUACACCUUGAUGAUAAAAUCCAUCCCAGUGAAAGAAAAGAACAUCUUUAUAAAAGAAACCAUCAAACUGAAAUCUGGUAAGAUAAGAUAUUACAAGUACUGAAACAAAGAAGGUAAAUCAACAAGAAAUUAUGUCUGAACAGCAAACAAAAUCGAAUCGAACUAUUUUUUCUUUACAAGGCAAACAAAAUCAAAUGAAUAGAAGUAAUACAGAAAUUAUAGCGACAACAUGUUUAACGAAAUAAAUACUACAGCAACUAACCUAUUAGGGGGAAGCUACACCCAGUGUUUGGCUUCUUUCAUAUACUUCUGUUUGUGUACAUUUUAUAGAAGAGGGGUAAGCUUCCAGCUACAACGGAAUAUAUGUUCAAUCAAACAUCAAAGACGCUCACCCAUGAAAAUUUCACAAGAGCAAUAACAAAUUCCUUGAAGUCAGAAACUCAACCACCUGAUUCGAUCAAUUAGUUUGACGGGAAAGAGAUAACUCAAAAACAGUGAUCUUGAAAAGAAAUUGUUAACAUCGCCCAUAUAUACCCAAAAUUUCUACCCUAUGCUCUACCCCAAAAAACGGUCUUUUUAUCAACUUAUUCCAUGCACUAUGAAGCUCAGCCCGAAAGUACAUUUAAGUAUCACUAAGAAAACAAAGAAAUUAAAAGAAGAAGCUAAACAUACGUGAAGCUCUAAGCACCAAAAAUAGCAAAGAUAGUCAAUGGAUGAGAGAGUGGUACAUGAAUUUAAGGUCCGAAGGUAGCCCUGAGUCAAUUAGGCGAUAGAUCUGCUCUCAAAGACGAGCGAUGUACAUACAUUAGUGCGGUAUUUUGUCCAGGGCCCCGGGCCUAAAGGGGGCCUCGUGGACCUUGUUUUGAAC
rnacentral:lncRNA from 1 species